UACAGAGGGGGCAAGCGUUGUUCGGAAUUACUGGGCGUAAAGGGCGCGUAGGCGGCCUGCUAAGUCGAACGUGAAAUCCCUGGGCUCAACCCAGGAACUGCGUCCGAUACUGGUUGGCUUGAAUCCGGGAGAGGGAUGUGGAAUUCCAGGUGUAGCGGUGAAAUGCGUAGAUAUUAGGAAGAACACCGGUGGCGAAGGCGGCCCACUGGAUCGGUACUGACGCUGAGGUGCGAAAGCGUGGGGAGCAAACAGG
rnacentral:rRNA from 1 species